GACGAACGCUGGCGGCGUGCUUAACACAUGCAAGUCGAACGGAAAGGCCCUGCUUUCAGGGUACUCGAGUUGCGAACGGAUGAGUAAGACGUGGGUGAUCUGCCCUGCACUUCGGGAUGAGCCUCGGAAAGUAGGUCUAAUACCGGAUAGGUGCUCUUUUUAGGGUGAUGGUUGGAAAGUUGUUUCGGGGUUGGUUGAGCUCGCGGGCUAUAAGCUCGUUAGUGGGGUAAUGGGCUACCAAGGCGGCGACGGGUAGCCGCCCUGAGUGGGUGGACGGCCAGAUUGGGUGCUAGACAGGGCCGAAAGACCGACAGGAGGCAGCCGUGGGGAAUUUUGCAGUAUGUGCGCUAGCCUGAUGCAGCGACGCCGCGUGGCGGAUGACGGGCUUCGUAUUGUAAACCCAAUGCGUUAGGUACGAAGCUUUUUGUGACGGUACCUAGGUAAGAAGCACCGGCUAACUACGUG
rnacentral:rRNA from 1 species